UAAUACGUAGGCAGCAAGCGUUGUUCGGAGUUACUGGGCGUAAAGGGUGUGUAGGCGGCUUUCUAAGUUUGGUGUGAAAUCUCCCGGCUCAACCGGGAGGGUGCGCCGAAGACUGGGAGGCUAGAGUAUGGGAUGGGAGAGUGGAAUUCCUGGUGUAGCGGUGAAAUGCGUAGAUAUCAGGAGGAACACCUGCGGUGUAGACGGCUCUCUGGACCAUUACUGACGCUGAGACACGAAAGCGUGGGUAGCAAACAGGAUUAGAUACCCUGGUAGUCCACGCCCUAAACGAUGCAUAUUUGGUGUGGGCCAUUCAUUUGGUCUGUGCCGGAGCUAACGCGUUAAAUAUGCCGCCUGGGGAGUACAGUCGCAAGGCUG
rnacentral:rRNA from 1 species